UAGGGAAUCUUCGGCAAUGGGGGGAACCCUGACCGAGCAACGCCGCGUGAGUGAAGAAGGUUUUCGGAUCGUAAAGCUCUGUUGUUAAGGAAGAACGAGUGUGAGAAUGGAAAGUUCAUGCUGUGACGGUACUUAACCAGACAGGGACGGCUAACUACGUGCCAGCAGCCGCGGUAAUACGUAGGUCCCGAGCGUUGUCCGGAUUUAUUGGGCGUAAAGCGAGCGCAGGCGGUUAGAAAAGUCUGAAGUGAAAGGCAGUGGCUCAACCAUUGUAGGCUUUGGAAACUGUUUAACUUGAGUGCAGAAGGGGAGAGUGGAAUUCCAUGUGUAGCGGUGAAAUGCGUAGAUAUAUGGAGGAACACCGGUGGCGAAAGCGGCUCUCUGGUCUGUAACUGACGCUGAGGCUCGAAAGCGUGGGGAGCGAACAGG
rnacentral:rRNA from 1 species